rnacentral:lncRNA from 1 species
UUUAUUUGGUUAGCAAGUGAAAAAUAGAUGGACCAAACUGAAAAUAAGGGAGCGACUAAAAAGAAACCUAAAAUCUGAUCUACCCUCUUUUUGUCACCUAUAAAAGGGCAUGGAGUGCCUUGAGGAAAGGUCUUCAACAUUCAGCCCAAAAAAUCUCCACCAAAAUUUCUCCUCCUUUCCUUCAAUCUCAGUUAUCAUCUCAAUUCCAAUACUCAAAAAUACAAAGCAUCAGGAUAUUAGAAAACCAAAACAAAAAAGAAUAAGAAGAAAAACUAAAAAAAAAAAAUUACUGUUUCAUUGAGUGAUUUUAGCUGUGAUUCUGAUUUCCAUCUGGUAUGUGCUCAAUUUAUAUUUGUAGUUGAGGGUGGGAUUCAUUGAAGUAAUUUGGUAUUUUUCCAAGUUGUUUCACAUCUGUUGGAUUACCUGUGCAUUUCUGAGUUCGUUCCUAGUUUUUAAGAAGCUGAUUAGGUCAAAAUUCUCUCUAUUGUUGCUGGCUGUGGUUGAUGUGUGAAAUUGCUUGCUGACUUUUCUUUUUUCAUUUGGUACAAUUCCAGGUAUGUUCUCAGAUUCAAGGUGUUGGAACUGAAUUGAUAUGUAUGAAAUCACUUGAAGUCCAUUAAUGAAGAAAUGAAGAUGUUAGCCAUUUUGGCAUUUCCUGUGUGAAAAGCUGUUUUGAGUGACCUUUGAAUGUAUUAAUUGAAGUGGCAUAGACUGUUUGGACUAUUUGAUUUGCUGGGAUUGCAUUUCUCCAGAUAUACCUUCUAGUAUACUAUUAAUUUAUGUAAUAAGCUUGGACUGGACCGUUAAAUAGUGUUUCGUGCUAUGUUAAUAGGUAAUUCAAGUUGGUUGUAGUUAAAUUUCCUUUUAGCUGCCUUUGUGAAUUUGUUCAAAAUGAUGUAGGGAUGAAGACGAAACAUAAGCAUUAGGAUGUCUGGGUGUUUUCAAAUAAAUUGCAUGGUGUGUAAUUAGUUAGCUGUUGACGACUUCAAUAAGUCCUUUUGUUAGGUGUGUCAAAUUCCAGUUGUUUUAAAAUUAAUUACAAAUGUUAAUCUUGGCAUG